rnacentral:tRNA from 1 species
UUAGAAAAAUAAGACACGAACUUACACCUAGGAGCCCAAAACCCCUUGUACUUCCAUUAUACUAUUCUCUA